GUUGACCUCGGAUCAGGUAGGAAUACCCGCUGAACUUAAGCAUAUCAAUAAGCGGGA
rnacentral:rRNA from 1 species